AGCUAAUGAACUUGUAUAAGUAUAUAUUUUGAAAAUAUAAAAAAAGAUAAUUCCUCUUAUUGACUUA
rnacentral:tRNA from 1 species